rnacentral:ncRNA from 1 species
CUUACAGAAGUGCGCAAGUGUGUGAAUGUCAGCUGUGUGAAUGGGUGGGAAGGGAAAGGGGGGAACCCCACACUGCGCAAGGAAGGUGAGCGUAGGGGGGGUUCGCCUGCACUGCUCGUUCCGCGUAUCUACAGCCGCCGACGAGCUUUAUGAGAGAGGUUUGAGUUGUGGCACGUCCGUAAGGACCUGAUAAAGACUAAGGAAGUAGGUCUGAGUUGGGGGAAGUCAGACCAAAAGCCUGAUGGAGGAUCGCAGCGACACUGACGUGCAAUCGUCCGCCAAACUGGGGUUAGGAGCGAAGGCCGAACGGCAUCGUCUAGUAGCUAG